ensembl:misc_RNA Metazoa_SRP Metazoan signal recognition particle RNA
GCCGGGCGCGGUGGCUCACGCCUGUAAUCCCAACACUUUGGGAGGCUGAGACGGGUGGAUCACCUGAGGUCAGGAGUUCGAGACCAGCCUGGCCAACAUGGUGAAACCCUGUCUCUA